UCACCGGGCAUGGAGCCUCCUCCCGCUGUCUCCUUCUACAACUUCUCUUCUUCUCCUCUUGAUUUGUGCGUGUAUUGUGUUAAUGAAAGGAAUUCAUGGCCAUGGCCGGAGAGAGAGGAGCUGCUCCUAGUAUAGGACGCCAUGGAAGGUGCUGCUCUGAUGAGGAGAAACUGCUGCUGCAGGACAUCCUCCUCCCCUCCUACCCCCACCUAGGGCUCUCGGAGGAGGCGAAGCAAUGGGAUAGCCACGUCAUGAAGGGCUGCAAGGGAGAUAUGUCCAUCGAUUGCCUCAGGUUCUUCUUUGAUCGUAGAUCGAUUUCCUACGAUGCUGAUGAUAGAAUCCCAUAAUGUAUGUCCAUUGCCAAUCUAUGGAUUGUACAAAGAAGAUUGACUAAGAGCUUAGAUGUGUCUGCAGAAGCAUAAAAAAACAUGGUGAUCAGAAGGAUUUGUACGGGUAAGAUGCAAACAGUGCUGGCCUAUAUUAGCAUGCAGUUUUUUUAUUGGUUCUUAUAAUUUAUCUGUUUCCCAGCAUAUAUCCCUGAUUCUUUUCAUCAAUUUAGUGGCGAAUCCCGUCAUCCAAUUGACUCAUAUUGCAACAGGGAAAGGCAGAUAUGCCAUGGCCUUUGCCUUCAUGUACCAUUGGCCUUUGUGUGUUUCUUUUAUUUGGGGGAAAACGAGAUUGAGAUGUAGACUAUGAACAUCGCAGACUGAUAAUGUAAUUGGCCUUCUGCUCAGAUUUUACAAAAUUGGAUAAUGAAGUGCAAUACAGGACCCUCAGCUAUGGAAUAAUUAUUCUUUUAUAUCUCACUGUCCAGGCUUUGGUUCGAGGUAAAAAUGGUGCAUCGCCUCUCCGUACAAGGUGUCAAUUUUAGCAUCUAUUUAUCCGGCCAAAUCGCAUAUGCGAAGCUUUCCUUGAUGCAUAGUUCUGUACCAUAGCCUAAGAAUCAGAGGUUGAUCUAUAUAUGUGAUUAUUGUUGUCAAGCAAUUUGUUUUGUCACAACCACUUUGCUCUGCACAGGUGUUCAUGUGUUGGACGCUUGGAGCCCCAAUUAGCCGGUGGCCUCACUGAUUUAAGGUGACGCGUGUGUUAAAUAAAACUGAUGUUGGAGUAAUUAAGCUCAAAAUAUGAACAUUGUUAUGCUUUCUAAGUUUAACAAACCUCUGUCAGUAAAACUGCUAGGCCUAGGUUGACCUUAUUUGCACAAUAUGCAAAAACAAAUAUUUAUCAGGACAACUAUUAUAACAUAUAUGAGACAUCUCAUUUGCUAUGGUUUCCUGUCUUUCACACAAGAUAAAUGUUAUUUGAGCUAAUUUCUAUGUGCAGGUAUGAGGAUGUAGGUACGAAGGAGUAGCUCGACAUUUACUUACAAAAUGGCUUGGGCACUCUCAUAAAUGGCUCCAUUUUUGUUUACCUUCUAUUGAUCUGUAACAAAGAUGAUUUUUCUGUUGCCGUUGAGGAUACAAAGAUCUAGCUCGACUGGACUCUAGAUCACGAACAAUUUAGUCUUGGCCCUUAAUUAGGAUUGCUAAAUUACAUUUGCGUAUCAUUUGAUGGAUCUUUGAUAUGAGAAUUAUGAAUUUUAUGAAUCUACAUAUUAUAUGUAUAGUUUUGAAUAUUGUAAUUGAAUGCCUGUAUUUUUUUUAUG